UACGUAGGGUGCGAGUGUUGUCCGGAAUUAUUGGGCGUAAAGGGCUCGUAGGCGGUCUGUUGCGUCGGGAGUGAAAACUCAGGGCUUAACCCUGAGCCUGCUUCCGAUACGGGCAGACUAGAGGUAUGCAGGGGAGAACGGAAUUCCUGGUGUAGCGGUGAAAUGCGCAGAUAUCGGUAGGAACACCAGUGGCGAAGGCGGUCUCCUGGGGCAUUCUUGACGCUGAGGCGCGAAAGCUGGGGGAGCAAACGGG
rnacentral:rRNA from 1 species